GAUGAACGCUGGCGGCGUGCCUAAUACAUGCAAGUCGAGCGAACGGACGAGAAGCUUGCUUCUCUGAUGUUAGCGGCGGACGGGUGAGUAACACGUGGAUAACCUACCUAUAAGACUGGGAUAACCUCGGGAAACCGGAGCUAAUACCGGAUAAUAUUUUGAACCGCAUGGUCCAAAAGUGAAAGACGGUCUUGCCGUCACUUAUAGAUGGAUCCGCGCUGCAUUAGCUAGUUGGUAAGGUAACGGCUUACCAAGGCAACGAUGCAUAGCCGACCUGAGAGGGUGAUCGACCACACUGGAACUGAGACACGGUCCAGACUCCUACGGGAGGCAGCAGUAGGGAAUCUUCCGCAAUGGGCGAAAACCUGACGGAGCAACGCCGCGUGAGUGAUGAAGGUCUUCGGGUCGUAAAACUCUGUUAUUAGGGAAGAACAUAUGUGUAAGUAACUGUGCACAUCUUGACGGUACCUAAUCAGAAAGCCACGGCUAACUACGUG
rnacentral:rRNA from 1 species